UAUGGAAAGUAUAUCUGGACUUACAUGAAGCAAAAGAGAAGAAAAGACAAGACAGGUAUUAUAAUGGCUACAGAGAUUAGUUCAUUGGUAUGCUAAGAAGUACAAAAAGACAACUACCUGCAUUCCACAUUCUAUAGAAAUGGUUCUGGAUGUUGAUUCACCAAACGAAAAUUUUGAAACCUGGUAGCCCAGAAAAAAUGCUGCUGCAUGCAGGGCCGCCACUGGGAGAAUUAACUGUGCUCCCUGACUUUUCAGCACAUCUGCAACUUGCCCGAUCUUCAGAUAAAAAGAUAUGAACUGACUUACCAUAGUAUUUGUGAGAGAAAGAGAGAAAUCAUUAAUAUGCCUUCAACUAAAAAUAGACAGUAAAUUUUUCAAGCUUACCGGACUUGCACAAAGAAGGGUGGUCAAAAUAACUCCAAUCAAAGGUGUAAUGGUGAUGAUUUUUGAGGUAAACUUAGGAAAGAACUCAUUUGAUAGAACUGCAAAACAAAAUGAACUUGAAUUAAUAUAGCACAUCUUAUUUGAAGCUAUAUGAAAGCAAGAUUGGCAUAAAUACAGAUUGUCUGUCGUAUUUCUCUAUUGAAGAAAAUGUACCUCCAAUAAUUGUUGGCACUAACACAACCUGAAAGGUGCUGAUAGCAAGACCCUGGAACGAAAACAAAGAUGAUUGACUAGAAGAAAGACUCCAUCAGCAAACGACAAAACUUAGAAUGUUAUUCACCGAAGUUAGAGGGCUAUCAGCUUCCUUGGGAAGAAUCCAACUUUUAAACAGCCAUACUUUAAUGCUGUUAAGAGUUACACUCCAAAUAAGUUUGGUGGAGUCUCUAUGAUUUUUUUGGUGCUUGUGCAAGGCAUAGUUUAGAAUUUUUCAAGUGUACGACAUACAUUUAUAGAAUGAAUUUUGAUAUGUGACUGAUAUUGCAAACAUCAAGCACUUUACAUGAGAAGAUUUUGAUAAAUGAAACAAAUUCCGAACACAUCAGCACAGGUCAACUUACGGCAGCAUCAACUGGGACAAGCUGACCAGCUAGAAGCUUAGUUAGCAAGGGUGUCAUUACAAUAGCUCCAACAGUUGAACACCUGCAAUGAUACCAUAAAAACUCUUAUUCCCCAAAUUCUUUAAGAAAAGAUUCUUGUCAUCAGCUUAUUAGUUGUCCACAGUUUUCUGCAAGUGCAUAUUUCUUGUAAAGGUGAACUUAAUUUUGCAUCGAGCUAUAGCAUAGGUUUGGUUUCUCCUUAACAGCCAUCAAGCUUAAAAAUUAUCCCAUCAUUACACAGGAAGCUACAGUAGAGGGGUUGAAAGUUCACAGCGGUCAUUCAUUUUCGCGUAAUGAAUUUUCUUCUACCAGAAGGCACCUUGGAGUAAUUGGUAAAGUUCCUGCCAUAUGACCAGAAGGUCACAGGUUCAAACCUUGGAAACAGCCUCUAGCAGAAAUGCAAGGUAAGGCUGCGUACAACACACCAUUGUGGUGGGGCCCUUCCCCAGAUCCUGCACAUAGCGGGAGCUUUAGUGCACCGAGCUACCCUUUUGUUUUUUAAUUUUCUUCUACCACAUUGCAACAGUCAGGUGAUGCAAUCUCUAUCCUUAAAAGUAAACAAGCUCCUUGAAAGUAAGGAAAAUGACUUCCUUAUGGAAAGUAGGGAAAACAAGUGGCACCGUCUCCUCCCCCCACUCAUCCUCAUAAUUUUGUGUUAGAUAUAUACAAAUACUUUUAGGAUAAUAUUUUAUACUUGCCUACCGAAAACGAGAAAAUAAGUAAGAAACCACUUAUUUUCCAAGAAAAUGUUUUAUUGGAAAAUAUUUUCCAUGAAAACAUUUUUCUCCAUAUCGAACAAACCCUUGGACAUAUUGCAGAUUGCAUAUUAUAGGACAAGUCCACAUCAAAUCCAACAAAACACUGGGACAAAUUUUCUGCAAUGCAGGGUCUAAUUUCUAAUUUUUUAAGAAUCUAAAAUCUGUUUUAAUAAUGGGUAACCAUGACUUUUACUAAGCACAAAAAAUUGCACUCUUGAACUUUUCUGGAUUAUAAACUAGUCAUACUUUUUUUGAAUCUGAUAAACUAGUCAUACUUAUCUUAGCAAUGAGUGUCAUUACAUCAACAACACAGCAUGGGUUGCACGACCAUAGCAAAUCUUAUUGACAUUAACAACUUCCCCUAAUGUUGACUGAAUCUACAUGUAUAAUCUCCACUUACGUAGUCAUAAGAACAGAGAGGGCUACAUUCCCCUUUGAAAUAUAUGUUGCCACAUUAGAAGCUUGGCCUCCAGGACAGCAUGAUACCAAGAUAAGACCAGUAGCAAGUGGGGCGGACAACUUUAGAACCUACAAAUCAUACCAAUUGGACGAAGAGAACAAUUAUUAUUAGGUAACAAAAGUAAUAUCGAUAAACAGAAUCAAGAAUAUAGAGCAUGACUUGCAAAGGAACAACAGAAACCACCAGAAGAAGAAUAGCAUCAACAUGCUCCAAUAGUUAGGUCAAACUUGCAUACAACAGCAACAACUACUAUACCUCAGUCACAAAUAAGUUGGCGUAGUGGUAUGAGUCCUCACGUCUACAAUUAAGCUCAACUCAUGGGUCAAACUUGAAUACUGAAUCAAAAUAUAUUUCUAGCAGAUAAAUAAGUUCUCUUCGGCAACAGAAGUGGGAGAAGAAAUCAUAAAUAGUAGAACCUAAGUAAGAUGUUAAUAGAACCAACUUCAGCAGAAAUUUAACAAAAAAAAUAAAGCAAAACAAUGAUAGCAAAAAUAAGAGAUGACUAAUAUACUUUAGACGCAUCAAUCAAAGAAAGAAGUAGUAGGUAUGGUCAUUCUUCAAAGGACAAAAAGAUACAUUUCAUAUGAGUAACUUAUCAUCAAAUUUUCGGGUGCUUCUCUGUUGAGUCUUUGAGGUACAUAUACUAUUGAUAAAGUUUCUCCUUUUAUAUUUGUUAUGCUUACAUGUCAGUAUCGAGGCCAUGAAGGAUGAAAAGGGUAGAAAAAUAUUUCUCAUAGACCACUCUACCUUUCUAAUGCCAUCUCUGGCUAACAUAAGAUAAAUGUGGUGUAAUCCAGCUGAUCUUCACUCACUACCCUCAAAUGGUUUCAUUUGAGUAGAAGAUCUCCUAGGAGUCCAACUAAGUUAGAAUGCAAGUACACAACAUUUUGGAAACAACAUUCAACAGAAACUUUCUAUAUGAAAUUGCUUACGACUUCAACUUGAUUUAAGCCAUCCACAGACAAAAUGAAUAGCCCAAUUACGUAAGAGAAGAAAUACCAUAGCUAUGGUGAAGCCUAAAAGUGGUUUGAUGAAGUACUGAGCCGCAAAUCCCACACCAACCUGCAAACGGAGCAACCAUUGGUGUCUGUUGGUGUUUAAAACAAUAGUAGGAGAAUGAAGAAUUUGCUACUUACAGUCCAUGGAUUCCUUAAACAUCGUCGAAAGUCCUCAAAUGUUAGUGUCAAACCCAUUGAAAGCAUUAGAAAUCCCAAACCAAGAGUGAACAGGUCUGUUUCCAACCAAGUGACCUGUAAGAUUCUCAUGUCUAUCAGUUAAGUCAUUCAUUUAUCAUAAAUGGAAUUGCAAAGAGCGAGUACUGUAUUUACCGCAGAAGGUUUAUAGAUGCCAAUGAUUGUACCCAAUAUAACCUGCAAAAGUUAAGUAGCUGUAAACUUCUAGUCUUUCAAAAAAUUUAAUCUUUCAAUGAGGAAUAAAACAACAAGAUAGCUGGUGUAAUCCCACAAAGUGGAUCUGGAAAGAAUAGUGUACGCAGACCUUACCUCUACCUUGGAUGUGAAACACUGUUCCCAGUAGAUCCUCGGCUCAAGGAAAAACAGUUCAAAGCAAUUUGGAAAAAAGAAAUAACGGCAGUGAAGAAUUUCAUGGAAAAAUACUAUUGAAAGGAUGACAGGGUAUUCUGUACAGUAACGACAGCAAAAAGAUACGAUUAUCUAAGUACAAGAAACAGUAAAUAGUAACAUAAAUCAAAGGGCAAGAAACUAUAGAAAUAAUACUACGACUACUAGCAUGGAAGGAGAAGCAAUACAACACUCUACUACCUACUAAAAUGAAAUAUAGAAAAUCAAAUAUUUAUUAUAAAAUGGAGAAAAGAGGGAAAUCGGAUAUACCCAGAGAGGAAAAAGAGUGGUCAAAGUCUCAAUUAUUUUCUCGUAUUGGCUCAUUCCACUGGAAGAGCUGCUUGGUAAGUCUCCAGACACAUUCGUCGCUGCCACGCAAGAUAUUUCGGUAUUGCUAAAGAUAGUGGCAGUCCCCCCCCCCCCCCCCCAAAAAAAAAAGAAAAAUAAAAGAUUUUUCCAAAUCAAAUAUAACAUUAGAAUAAAAAAGGAGACAAAAAAAUAAUUCCAUCUCUUAUUACACUCGAACUGAGAAUGCAAACGGAACUUUGAUUCAAACACUUACCGCUGUGGUGAACUGAUUCCAAUAAAUGAGGAUUGAACUAGGAAAGCAACAUCCGAAACUUGAUGCCUAUUUUGAAUGAACAAAUUAUAUCUUCCAGUCUCAUGUCCGCCCAAUCCACUUCUCAUACCUUAUAAUCAAUGCAGCUAAUUGAUAAAUAAAUAUUCAAUUUUAAGUUAAAUAAUUACAAAUUCUGAUGCUGUAAAAUAAUUUCUAGCAUUCCUUCAAAUUAAACAAUAUGGACAUUUAAUAUAACUAUCCUAUGAUUGAAAAAAAAGAAGUAAUAGAGCAUGUACCACAUGUAACAAAGCAUGUACCACACACAGCUGUAAAAUAGGAUGAGUCCAGUAAAUUUAGGCUUUAAGGUUGUAGAGUUUAUUCUCAUGUUUAUCUGCUCCUAAUUAUUAGGAGUCAAGCUAGCACAAUCUGUUCACGUUGUAUUUAAACUCCAUUGCAGACAUACUAAUAAAUACAAUUUCAUCCUACUUUCUCUACAAUUAUAGACUAAUCAAGUGACCCCUGGAUUCUUGAUUCAGGUGCGUCUCACCACAUCACCUCCGAUACUAACUCACUCCACAAUGUUCAGGACUUCAAAGGGCUCAAGGCAGUGACAAUGAGUAAUGGUAAUGUGAUUCCGAUUACUCAAACUGGUAAUACUCAUUUAAAUGCAUCAAAUACUGCCUUCAAACUCUUUAAUAUUUUGUGUGCUGCGGCUAUCAAACGCAAGCUCAUUUCAGUGAAUCAAUUUUGCAAAGACAAUCUAACCUCAAUAACAUUUUUUCCUUUUCCUUUUCCUGUGAAGGAUUUGAAUACGGGAGCACCUGAUACACUAAAAACUUGAAAACACAAGAAAAGGCACAAAACAUACACCAAAAUCAGUCCACAAGCUAAGAUAGCCGAGGAACCCUUUUGGUGACCUCUCUCGGAUUUAAAAACACAACAAGAACACUAUGUAGUGAGGUGUUUAACACCUAUUUUCCAACAGCAACCCAAACUAUUUUAGCAACAAGAUAACAAUAACAACAAUGUAGUAACAAUAACAACACUUCACGGGUUGGAGUACAAGAACAGCAAACAAACGAUUACAACAAUAAAAUAGAUAGAUAGUUACACAAGUGAAUGUAUAAUCUUAAGAACCCAAGAAUUUGGUGGACUCUUGGACCCUUAACACUACACGCGACAAAC
rnacentral:lncRNA from 1 species